UACAGAGGGGGCAAGCGUUGUUCGGAAUUACUGGGCGUAAAGGGCGCGUAGGCGGCCAACUAAGUCGGACGUGAAAUCCCUCGGCUUAACCGGGGAACUGCGUCCGAUACUGGAUGGCUUGAGUUCGGGAGAGGGAUGCGGAAUUCCAGGUGUAGCGGUGAAAUGCGCAGAUAUCAGGAGGAACACCGGUGGCGAAGGCGCCACUCUGGGCCGAAACUGACGCUGAGGAGCGAAAGCGUGGGUAGCAAACAGG
rnacentral:rRNA from 1 species